rnacentral:sRNA from 1 species
UAAGAGUGGUAACUCAUUGAUAAAGGUC